CUACGGGUGGCUGCAGUGGGGAAUAUUGGACAAUGGGCGCAAGCCUGAUCCAGCAAUGCCGCGUGAGUGAUGAAGGCCUUAGGGUUGUAAAGCUCUUUUACCCGGGAAGAUAAUGACUGUACCGGGAGAAUAAGCCCCGGCUAACUCCGUGCCAGCAGCCGCGGUAAUACGGAGGGGGCUAGCGUUGUUCGGAAUUACUGGGCGUAAAGCGCACGUAGGCGGCUUUGUAAGUUAGAGGUGAAAGCCCGGGGCUCAACCCCGGAACUGCCUUUAAGACUGCAUCGCUUGAACGUCGGAGAGGUGAGUGGAAUUCCGAGUGUAGAGGUGAAAUUCGUAGAUAUUCGGAAGAACACCAGUGGCGAAGGCGGCUCACUGGACGACUGUUGACGCUGAGGUGCGAAAGCGUGGGGAGCAAACAGGAUUAGAUACCCCCGUAGUC
rnacentral:rRNA from 1 species